AUUUAUUAUUACGAUGUAGACAAAAAAAAUUAUCAGGUUGUACAUUAAUUCACGUACACAUUUGUAUACAAUAGUGUUUUCCAAGAAACAGAGGCAACACGGCCGGUGCCAUGCGUACAUAAAUCAGCUUAAAAGUGGCAAAAGGAUGUUGUUACUGUUCCAUAAAAUUGUUGGCUGAGUAUAUUAGUAUAAUAUAUUGCAUUUCAGUAUUUUAUUCAUGUUCCUAUUUUACUUUAUCAACUUCACAUAGAAAUCCCCUUAAUCAAUCUGUACAUUGAAUCAAUUGCACUUUCCAACAGAAAGAAAUGCAUAUACCUUUCUGCAUUGCGACAAGGUA
rnacentral:misc_RNA from 1 species